rnacentral:rRNA from 1 species
UUCCGGUUGAUCCUGCCAGAGGCGACCGCUUUUGGAGUUCGAUUAAGCCAUGCGAGUCGAGAGCCUUAGGGGCUCGGCAUACUGCUCAGUAACACGUGGAUAACCUGCCCUAUUGUCUGGAAUAACCUCGGGAAACUGAGAACAAGGCCGGAUAACCCACAAUGCCUGGAACGGUUUGUGGGUGAAGAUAGGAUGGGUCUGCGGCGUAUCAGGUCGUAGGGGGUGUAAUGGACCUCCUAGCCAUCGACGCGUACGGGUGUUGGGAGACAUAGCCCGGAGAUGGAUUCUGAGACACGAAUCCAGACCCUACGGGGUGCAGCAGGCGCGAAAACUUCACACUGCAGGAAACUGUGAUGAGGGAACUCCAAGUGCAUUCACUAUGUGGAUGCUUUUUUUGACUAUUAAUCGGUCAACGAAUAAGGGCUGGGAAAGACCGGUGCCAGCCGCCGCGGUAAUACCGGCAGCUCAAGUGGUCGUCGCUUUUAUUGGGCCUAAAACGUCCGUAGCCUGUUUGGUAAAUCUGUGGGUAAAUCAACCAGCUUAACUGGUUGAAUUCUGCAGAGACUGCCAGACUAGGGACCGGGAGAGGUGUGGGGUACUCUAGGGGUAGGGGUAAAAUCCUGUCAUCCUUAGAGGACCACCAGUUGCGAAGGCGCCACACUGGAACGGAUCCGACGGUCAGGGACGAAGCCUAGGGGCACGAACCGGAUUAGAUACCCGGGUAGUCCUAGGUGUAAACGCUGUGAACUUGGUGUCGGGGAUCCGCAAUGGGUCCUCGGUGCCGGAGUGAAGAUGUUAAGUUCACUGCCUGGGGAGUACGGUCGCAAGGCUGAAACUUAAAGGAAUUGGCGGGGGAGCACUGCAACGGGAGGAGCGUGCGGUUUAAUUGGACUCAACGCCGGGA